CCUACGGGAGGCAGCAGUAGGGAAUCUUCCACAAUGGGCGAAAGCCUGAUGGAGCAACGCCGCGUGGGUGAAGAAGGUCUUCGGAUCGUAAAACCCUGUUGUUAGAGAAGAAAGUGCGUGAGAGUAACUGUUCACGUUUCGACGGUAUCUAACCAGAAAGCCACGGCUAACUACGUGCCAGCAGCCGCGGUAAUACGUAGGUGGCAAGCGUUAUCCUGAUUUAUUGGGCGUAAAGGGAACGCAGGCGGUCUUUUAAGUCUGAUGUGAAAGCCUUCGGCUUAACCGGAGUAGUGCAUUAGAAACUGGGAGACGUGAGUGCAGAAGAGGAGAGUGGAACUCCAUGUGUAGCGGUGAAAUGCGUAGAUAUAUGGAAGAACACCAGUGGCGAAAGCGGCUCUCUGGUCUGUAACUGACGCGGAGGUUCGAAAGCGUGGGUAGCAAACAGGAUUAGAUACCCUAGUAGUC
rnacentral:rRNA from 1 species